ACUUGAUUUUUUUAGAUUAUAAAUUACUAAAACUAUAUAUAUUAACAUCAACAUUUUUGUUUAGGUUAUUUUGAACAUAUUUGAGGCAAAGGUACUGGAAUACGAUAAUUAUCCGCUGGGAGCGUUAACUUUGACACAUGGUCACGUGGUACACUGUGGAUGUUUGUGGGACGAUCUUAUGUGUAUUCCUUAUGGGUGAUUUGCAAAAACAAGAGAUUAUUUAAAAUAUUACUAUUAAUUUUGUACAAUUGUAUCAAUACAUCACAAGAAAUUCGCUAUAAAUACUAUAUAUGGUAGAAAAUGUUUGAUAUAAUACAUAAAUAUAAUUUCGAUAUACAAACUUAGGAAGAGAUUUUUAGGUUAACAGCCGAAAUGUGAGGUUAAGGCUGUCAAGAAGGACUUCGUAAAUGUAAACAAAAGUUGCAAAGCCAGAAUUUGCCCAAUCUCAAAGCCUUUUUAAUUCCUAUAAAGUUGAAAUGUUGCUUCCUCUGCUUAAGUAUACUGUUUUUAACAUAAUACCACCAUAAUUCGGUCUUAAAUUUGUAUGAAAUAUAGUUUUUUAGUGAUAUUCACCAAGCAAAGUUUACAAACUUUUGUGAACCAUUCUAUUUUGUAUAAUAAAAAUGGUAAUGUGCUUUGCCCCGGAUUGUACACAAUAUUGUGAAAGAGGGAUAUGUAGAUUCUUUGUUGUUCCCAGGAUCUGGUUGAAAAGAAGACAUUGAUUUCAUUACUAAGGCACCCAGGAGAAGGGCAUGGCCGUAACCCUCAAAUAUGAGUAUUAUAGAAAAUUAACAGUUACCCAGGCAACCAUCCAAUGAGAAUCGUAGGAAAAUUAACAGUUCCACAGACAAUCAUCCAGUGACCACAUUGUCUCUUUUUGGACAUACCAUCUGACGCUUUCUGAAGAUCUUGGGGUGUAAAUAACCCAGGACAGCACCGGAAGAAGCCGUCAGACCACAGGCUAAAUUCCUUAUUAAAAUCUAUAGCUUGCCUAUAAACAGAGACAGACUAUUUUUAUAUAAAAUAACUUCAUUAGUUCUAAAAUGUAGAUCUUGAAUUGUGACCAUAAUAAAAUGAGAAAAUAAAGUGUUUAUACUGAA
rnacentral:lncRNA from 1 species